GCCGGGGGGGCGUUGGUCCUGCUUUGAGAAGGGGGUCGGCGUGGGCUUCUCAACCCACAAGUGAGUCUCGAGAAUAUAGGAAAGGAACCAACCUGAAACAUGGAUUCUCCUUUAACGAAGAAAAAGAGCUCUCAUGUUUAAGCUGAGCGGGCUUGCUCUACGGCACUGUGGACCCCACUGUUGGCAAAGGACACAUCCCCUCCUCAACUUCUUGUUUAUGUCUGGACCAGCAGUUGCCAGUGAUGACUGCCUGCCCCCUUACAACAGUUAGAGAAACAGUUUUGAGCAUCCUCACAAUAAGAAGCAAGCAGC